UAAUAAUGUAGUAUAAGGUU
rnacentral:miRNA from 1 species